rnacentral:rRNA from 1 species
UACGUAGGGGGCAAGCGUUGUCCGGAAUCAUUGGGCGUAAAGAGCGUGUAGGCGGUCCGGUAAGUCGGCUGUGAAAGUCCAGGGCUCAACCCUGGGAUGCCGGUCGAUACUGCCGGACUAGAGUUCGGAAGAGGCGAGUGGAAUUCCCGGUGUAGCGGUGAAAUGCGCAGAUAUCGGGAGGAACACCUAUUGCGAAGGCAGCUCGCUGGGACGUUACUGACGCUGAGACGCGAAAGCGUGGGGAGCAAACAGG